AUUGAACGCUGGCGGCAUGCUUUACACAUGCAAGUCGAACGGCAGCGCGGGCUUCGGCCUGGCCGCGCGUGGGGGACGGGCGAGUAAUUCACCCGAACGUGACCAGCCGUGGGGGCUAGCCUGGCGACAGCAGGCUUAAUCUCGCAUCGGACAUGAGGUUGAACGCCGGGGUCCGAAAGUGAUAGCCGUUUUUGCGGGGCCGUUGACGGAUUAGCUAGCUGGUGGGGUAAAGGCUUACCAAGGCGACGAUCCGUAGCUGGUCUGAGAGGACGACCGGCCACACUGGGACUGAGACACGGCCCAGACUCCUACGGGAGGCAGCAGUGGGGAAUUUUGGACAAUGGGGGCAACCCUGACCCAGCCAUGCCGCGUGCGGGAAGAAGGCCUUCGGGUUGUAAACCGCUUUUGUUCGGGAAGAAAACCUCUGGGCUAAUACCCCGGGGGGAUGACGGUACCGGAAGAGUAAGCACCGGCUAACUACGUG
rnacentral:rRNA from 1 species